CUCUCACUCGUGAAGUAAAUAGAAGUGCGCAACAUCCUCCGGCAGCAAGCAUCCGUCCAGCACGUCGUCAUCUCAACCUGGAACGCGCUGUGCUUGCACACGUUCUGAAGGAAACAGCUGAGCGCCAAUAUAUCGGCCUUGCUUUCCGGGUAAGGUAAGAAAAAACACGCUGCCUACGACGCACUUCGUAUUAGGCCAUGCCUCAUUUGGGUUCUUGCUUUCAUAACACAGAAGGGCCAUUCGAAGUCAAUCAUAAGUGAAAGUACAAUGACGUCAUAUUAAUAGGGGAAUGUACUGAACAGUAAAUGCAAUUUUUUUUUACAUUUGCUUCCUGCGCCGAACAAGUUUACAUUUAGGAAUUUGGGUUGGAAUUACACCGCGGAAGGUAUAAAAAAAAUUCCUCAUUUUAAAGGCCACUUACCGAGAGCGCAUCUUUCGCAACGGCGUCUCAAGAGUUACGACACCGCUUCCAGAACCUCCCAUCCAGCUCCCGGUUGCGGUUGAGGCCACCGUGGCUUGUCAAAUAAACUCUACGCAACGACAUUUUCAUGGCAACACAAACAGGCAAAGAGCGGGCUGGAUUUCACAAAGAUGAAAAAGGGAGUGCACUCCUCACAUACUUCCGCUUUUGCUAUGGCUUCGUUUCCGGCUUUCCAUUUGGGUCAAAGAGAGCGCAAGUGUACAUCAACUUAUUUCCCCAGAAUAUGAAGGAAAACAACGAUUUAAAUUAUUUUCUUCCUCUUGAUAAUAGUUUAGCACGUUUCUUUCAUAUUUCUCUUGGUCAUUCAUGUUUUUUUUGUCUCACACACGCACACGCGCACGCACGCACACAAUCCUCUGCACUGUCAGGCACCGCCCUUAUCUAUAACCUCCAUCAUACAAUUAAAUUUAAUUGCUUUAUUAGCGCGUAAGAUACUUCCGACUUAGUUGUUGUAGAUCAAGUGACUUGACCACUUUGUUUGUCCUUGUUUUUAUAUUCUAUUUUUUUAUAUUCUAAUUUUGUCACGUCUUGUCCCCAGUUUUGCUGUGUCUAGGUUGCCAUAGUUUCUGUUCGCGUCGCCCCUCCCCUUCUGUGUCGCAUCAAUGAAUGUAAUCGCGGUCACCUGCCUUGUGUUUCGUGUUUUGUAUUUAAGUCGUGUCUGCUUGUCAUUCUUCUUCGGAUCAUUGUUGUUGUCGUACUGUCUUGCUGUCUUGCUGUCGUCAUGUCCUGCUGUCUUUUUGUUUCACGUCCCGGUUACUAAGUCAAUUUACUGUUUGUUAAGUCAUGUCAGUUUGCCUUUUGAGUUCCCUUCAGCAAACCCUGGUCCAAGCUGCAUUUGGUCGCCCUGCUCCAUCCGAUCCGUGACAAUUUUGUCUAAAUUUGGACCCUUCAUGAACAGCAGGGAGCGCCCUAACCUCACGUUCAAAUUUUUCCUUAAUUCGGGUGGUGAGCUUUGGGCCAGAGGCAGGACUGGACUGAUUACCAACCAACCCCGGGGCAUAUAAAAAGAAAUAACCCAUCCUCACAUUCACGCAAUUACACCUAUGAGCAAUGUUGCGUCUUCAAUUAACCCGAUAUGGCUUUCCCCCCCACUCAAACUAAGAGAAAAGUGACAAAAGCACAUGAAUAAGUUGCAAACUGAAGGUGAGACACGCAAACCCUCAACUUCAAUAUGAGGCAUUGUGCUUGUGGGGUUUAGGAGCAUUUUUCUAUUUAGUUUAUGAAGGAGAUGAAUCAGCUUGUGUCAUAGAUUUGUGUUCCCAGAGCACCACAUAUUCAAAGGACACUCAAUCACUUAUUUGGUCCAAAGAUGUGAUGAUUGGCGGUUCUCAUAUAGCACAUAGCACUCAGCAGCCACUCAGCCAUCUCUCGUAAAUUCAAAUUGUUGCUGUAAUUUUUCAUUGCAUAUUUGUUGUGUGUAUACAAUUGUGUGCUGCGCAGAAACCAAAUGUUGUAAAUAAUCACGUUUGUGAGUCCAGCUGAAUGAAGUCCAGGUUGUGCUGUGUGUUGGACAGCUUGGAAUGGCUGGAUAAAGACACAUUGCCUUCCAAAUUGUUUCCCCCUGCAGAUGUUUGGAAAUGCACAAUGGCGGCAUGCAGCAAUGUGCAUGAAACAGAUGUAAUAUCAACCAGAGUUUCUGUUGUUUAUCAAUACUUUGGUGUCCGUGGAUACAAAGAAAUAGUUGUUGGAUUUUCGACUCUUAAUCAGUUCGUUAUUCGUAAAACCAUUUCCCUCAGGAUUAAAUACUGCAAAGGAUUACACAACAGAGAAUCAUGCAUCUCGUUAAUCCAGGGUGCACACAUUCUUGUGAAUUUAGUCAGUUUGGUGUCACAUAAGAUACCAUAUUGGUGUAGCAUGCAUCAGUAGUUUGGCACAUUUUUGGUAAAGCAUGGUCCCUGAUGAACAAUUUAUAAAGACAAGAAAUGAACCUGAAAGUUAAAAAAGAAAUGACAAAGCGCAGAAGUUGUCACUGAGAUUCAAAGGGGAAAAGCAGACUUUAUUAUGCGAUCACAUUUUCCUCAACAACAGGAAAUGAUGGAAGAAACGCAGGACAGCAAAUGGUUUUCAUUUAAUAUUGCAAAUCAUUUGUUCCUAAAUGCCAACAUUUUAGGCUUAUACUAACUGACAUGCGUGCAGCCUUUGCAUGAACUGGAAGAGGCUCACAAAGGCGGCCGCGCCUUCCAACCUCAGGGUCUUGUUCCAACCUUAUAUUUCCCUAAUGUUAUCUUAACGUAGAGGAGUUGAGAAGGGGCCUUCUUUGGCAAACAGAAACGAAACAUGACGUAUUUGGCAGCUGUUGCUACGCCGGGAGGAGGGACAGGACACAAAAAAGAACCAGCUGAGGUUUGUUGAUAAUCUGAGAUUCCAAUCCACAUGUGCUAGGCCUAGUUGGAUGAAGGACUGUAGAAGGGAAGAAUGAGCAGGGAGGAGGUUGAAGGGUGGACUGAGCUCUGGGACCUUUGUGACGUUUCAAAAAAAAAAAAACAUUUAAAGUGAGCAGAUUGGGGGGGUUUUCUAUGUCCAGUGUUGUUUCCAUCCUUCCAUCCAUUCAUGAGCUUGGCUCCACUGGUGUAGGAAAAUAUUUCUCUUCUAUCGGAUUGUUGCAAUGGGAACAAAGAGAUUGAUCCCUAAAUGUAGACUGCUUGAAGACAGUGCUUGGCCAGACUCCAUUAGAGAGUAAUGUCACAAAUAUGAGUACGCAGAGCCAAUGGAAUGAGACACAAACGCUGACAUGGGCGGAGUCGGGCCGCUG